rnacentral:rRNA from 1 species
AGUGAACGCUGGCGGUAGGCCUAACACAUGCAAGUCGAACGGCAGCACAGUAAGAGCUUGCUCUUACGGGUGGCGAGUGGCGGACGGGUGAGGAAUACAUCGGAAUCUACUUUUUCGUGGGGGAUAACGUAGGGAAACUUACUCUAAUACCGCAUACGACCUACGGGUGAAAGCAGGGGAUCUUCGGACCUUGCGCGAUUGAAUGAGCCGAUGUCGGAUUAGCUAGUUGGCGGGGUAAUGGCCCACCAAGGCGACGAUCCGUAGCUGGUCUGAGAGGAUGAUCGGCCACACGGGAGCUGAGACACGGUCAAGGCGCCUAAGAGAGGCAGCAGUGGGGAAUAUUGGGCAGUGGGCGCGAGCCUGAUACAGCCGUAGCGCGUGGGUGAAGAAGGCGUUCGGGUUGUAAAGACCUUUUGUUGGGAAAGAAAAGCAGCAGGUUAAUACCCAGCUGUUCUGACGGUACCGAAAGAAUAAGCACCGGCUAACUUCGUG